UUGGAGGGCAAGUCUGGUGCCAGCAGCCGCGGUAAUUCCAGCUCCAAUAGCGUAUAUUAAAGUUGUUGCAGUUAAAAAGCUCGUAGUUGAAUUUCGGGGUCAGUAGGCUGGUCGUGCCACAGGUAUGUACUGGUCUCACUGAUUCCUCCUUCCUGAUGAACCGUAAUGCCAUUAAUUUGGUGUUGCGGGGAAUCUGGACUGUUACUUUGAAAAAAUUAAAGUGUUUAAAGCAGGCUAACGCUUGAAUACAUUAGCAUGGAAUAAUGAAAUAGGACGAUCGAUCCUAUUUUGUUGGUUUCUAGGAUUGACGUAAUGAUUAAUAGGGAUAGUUGGGGGCAUUAGUAUUCAAUUGUCAGAGGUGAAAUUCUUGGAUUUAUUGAAGACUAACUACUGCGAAAGCAUUUGCCAAGGAUGUUUUCAUUAAUCAAGUACGAAAGUUAGGGGAUCGAAGACGAUCAGAUACCGUCGUAGUCUUAACCAUAAACUAUGCCGACUAGGGAUCGGAUGAUGUUAAUUUUUUAAUGACUCAUUCGGCGCCUUACGGGAAA
rnacentral:rRNA from 1 species